CUCCGGAGACAUUGCCCAUGUAAGAUCUACAUGUCUGAGUCUGUCUUUCUUGCCUCCUGAGUUUCCUCUUUACAUUUCUUGGUCCUCCGAGCCGGAGUAGACAUAACAUUUUUGUGUGAUCCUAUGGGAAAACCUCAUCGAGUCCUGACGUCGUGAGAAGCCCGCGCUGAAGUCUGUCGACAGCUCCUCUCUAGGUAGAGGAUAUAAAGACCAGAGACGUUGAAAUUCGGGUUCUGGCCAGCGUUCUUAAAAGUGGUCCACGGCAGUGGGGGUCGAUGAGGCGGACCUGAGAGACCGGCAGUGAAUCAGCAACCAGGUUGAAGGCAGGUGAUUGGAUCCUGAUAAGGGUGCUCCAGAGGAAAAAUUGGAGCUCACCCCGUUGGGAAGGACCCUACCAAGUACUCCUGACCACACCAACAGCCUGCAAAAUAGCAGAAAGACCGUCCUGGAUCCAUCAAAGCCACUGUAAAAGAGUGAGUGAGAGCAUAGACUAACCGGACACUGACUUCCUUACUCUCGGGUGAUUCGUCAGGUGAAGGAAGUGCCGAUUGGGUAUAUCCCGCACUUUUUCUUCUUGCCUAAGUCCCCUGAGACGUGAGGUAAGCCAGGUAAACAUGAAGUCGCUCUUAAUCUCACUAACCCUGACAGUCCUAGUGGCAGGAUGUCUCAUCCUACUGAAGAUGGAUCCGAGGGAACGGACAAAGAAAGCUUGGACACAUGACAACUCACACCUGGACAAGAUGACGCAGGACCACAAUCAUCCUUGGAUGAACAACGUGUGGUACAGAUAUGUAUACAACCGCACGACAGAAAAGAACUGCUUUGUUUGCUCACACAUGCCUGCAACUUCUGUCCAUACAACUAUUUAUGGGAAGGUUCCGUCACUUGAAACGAGCAUGUGCAUUCACAUGAAAGUCAUAAAUGGAACUUGUUCACAUAGAGACAUGUUUAUAGUAAGAGCCCUAGCGUUUUCACUGCUGACCUACGACGUGAAUAACCUAACAGCUACAAACUGGACGUGUGACGAAGCGCACUGGGUGAACGUGAAUGUGUCAAACAAAAGAAUAAUGACAUUUCCAGCCUUCUUGCAGAGUGAAGAACGUCACCCGAUAUGUUUCGACUUCUCAUACGGAAGGACAAAACUUGGUCGAACCAAGAACUGCAGUAUAGUCUGGAAGGACAAUGCCGAUGCAGCUAUGACUUUUAAGCGUGGCACGUACUGGGUCCAGGGGACAGCUUGGGUGUGUGGACCAAAAACGUACUACAUGCUGCCCCCCAAGGCAACAGACGACGGCGUUCAACUGACACCGGUCCAGAACCACACGAUCGAAUAUGGGGCUCUGAUGUCCCACAGGAAUUCAAACUCUGGACCACUGGACAGAAAGUACUUCAUGCCCUGUUUCCUUGGGUGGGCACAGGGAAAAAAUGCGCUGAGAAUUGAAACCUUGAAUUACAGAUGUGGACUCUUCCUGAACGCUUCAUGCAAAAUAAGGCAGAGUACAAAAUGAGGAAAUAGAUGCUUUAAGAAUCUCAAUAAUGCAGCACAGAGUGGCUCUAGACAUAUUACUGGCCGGAAAAGGUGGAUUGUGUGUAUUAUUUAACACCACAUGUUGCACAUACAUACCUGACAAUGUACACUCCAACAACAUGACAGAAGCAUUAAAAACACUGAAAUAACUGCAAGAUGUACAAACACAGGAUUAUGCCUCUGUACCAACUGACUGGUGGAAAUGGUUGUUAAGUGGCUCGUGGACUGUUUUGCUGUAUAAAGGUCUAAUAUUCAUAGGACUCUUACUUGUAUUAUUCUGUGUAUUCUCCACAUGUAUUCUCCCUUGUCUCAGGAAGAUGAUUUCUAAAAUGAUUUCCACAUCAUUGACAGCUUAUGUUUCUGUACCUAUGGAUGACAAAAACGAUCUGAGUAACAGUGAGGAUAACUUUGAAGACGAAAAUGUUUAUGUGUAGAAAGAAAAUCUUAAAGACGACCUGUAAAGCUAGAUUGCAAUAUAAGUAACACAUAAUGACGACAUAUUUGAAAAUGCUAGGAGCAAGAGAACAUGUUCUGAAAUAAAGUGUGAAACGUGUUUAAAUGAGCUAAAACAGGAGGGAAUGUUAAGGUAUUUUUAUAUGUAUUCUGCUCUAUUGUAGUUAAAAAUCCCUAGUUGUUUAGCUUCAUUUUCACUGUGUUUCAUGACAAUGCUUGCAUAAGGAAGUUGCCACAGGAAACCUCACCCUUGCUGAGUUUGCUGAGUUUGCUGAGAUAAGCUUGACCAGUUCCUGUUGUGACAGUUGAACGUAUAUGCUUUAUGCUUAUCACCUUGUAAGGAGUUGUUUUGUACUAACAAGGGGUGGCGCCCUGAAAUGUGCUACGUAAGAGCUGUCUAUAAAUACAGAGAGAACCGAUGUCCCG
ensembl:lncRNA